GAUCAUGGCUCAGGAUGAACGCUAGCUACAGGCUUAACACAUGCAAGUCGAGGGGCAGCAUUUCAGUUUGCUUGCAAACCUGGAGAUGGCGACCGGCGCACGGGUGAGUAACACGUAUCCAACCUGCCGAUAACUCGGGGAUAGCCUUUCGAAAGAAAGAUUAAUACCCGAUGGUAUAAUCAGACCGCAUGGUCUUGUUAUUUAAAGAAUUUCGGUUAUCGAUGGGGAUGCGUUCCAUUAGG
rnacentral:rRNA from 1 species